rnacentral:rRNA from 1 species
GGCGGCGUGCUUAACACAUGCAAGUCGAACGCUGAAGCACCAGCUUGCUGGUGUGGAUGAGUGGCGAACGGGUGAGUAAUACGUGAGUAACCUGCCCUUGACUCUGGGAUAAGCCCGGGAAACUGGGUCUAAUACUGGAUGCUACAUGUCACCGCAUGGUGGUGUGUGGAAAGGGUUUACUGGUCUUGGAUGGGCUCACGGCCUAUCAGCUUGUUGGUGAGGUAAUGGCUCACCAAGGCGACGACGGGUAGCCGGCCUGAGAGGGUGACCGGCCACACUGGGACUGAGACACGGCCCAGACUCCUACGGGAGGCAGCAGUGGGGAAUAUUGCACAAUGGGCGAAAGCCUGAUGCAGCGACGCCGCGUGAGGGAUGACGGCCUUCGGGUUGUAAACCUCUUUCAGCAGGGAAGAAGCCACAAGUGACGGUACCUGCAGAAGAAGCGCCGGCUAACUACGUGCCAGCAGCCGCGGUAAUACGUAGGGCGCAAGCGUUGUCCGGAAUUAUUGGGCGUAAAGAGCUCGUAGGCGGUUUGUCGCGUCUGCUGUGAAAGCCCGGGGCUUAACCCCGGGUGUGCAGUGGGUACGGGCAGACUAGAGUGCAGUAGGGGAGACUGGAAUUCCUGGUGUAGCGGUGGAAUGCGCAGAUAUCAGGAGGAACACCGAUGGCGAAGGCAGGUCUCUGGGCUGUUACUGACGCUGAGGAGCGAAAGCAUGGGGAGCGAACAGGAUUAGAUACCCUGGUAGUCCAUGCCGUAAACGUUGGGCACUAGGUGUGGGGGGACAUUCCACGUUUUCCGCGCCGUAGCUAACGCAUUAAGUGCCCCGCAUGG